AUUGAAACACAGGUUCCUGUAUGAUCAUUGAAGUUAAGCAAUGUCAAGCCUGGUCAGUACCUUAAUGGGUGACUGCUUGAGAAUACCAGGUGCUGUAA